GGGGGGUAGAAUUCCAGGUGUAGCGGUGAAAUGCGUAGAGAUCUGGAGGAAUACCGGUGGCGAAGGCGGCCCCCUGGACAAAGACUGACGCUCAGGUGCGAAAGCGUGGGGAGCAAACAGGAUUAGAUACCCUGGUAGUCCACGCCGUAAACGAUGUCGAUUUGGAGGUUGUGCCCUUGAGGCGUGGCUUCCGGAGCUAACGCGUUAAAUCGACCGCCUGGGGAGUACGGCCGCAAGGUUAAAACUCAAAUGAAUUGACGGGGGCCCGCACAAGCGGUGGAGCAUGUGGUUUAAUUCGAUGCAACGCGAAGAACCUUACCUGGUCUUGACAUCCACAGAACUUUCCAGAGAUGGAUUGGUGCCUUCGGGAACUGUGAGACAGGUGCUGCAUGGCUGUCGUCAGCUCGUGUUGUGAAAUGUUGGGUUAAGUCCCGCAACGAGCGCAACCCUUAUCCUUUGUUGCCAGCGGUUAGGCCGGGAACUCAAAGGAGACUGCCAGUGAUAAACUGGAGGAAGGUGGGGAUGACGUCAAGUCAUCAUGGCCCUUACGACCAGGGCUACACACGUGCUACAAUGGCAUAUACAAAGAGAAGCGACCUCGCGAGAGCAAGCGGACCUCAUAAAGUAUGUCGUAGUCCGGAUUGGAGUCUGCAACUCGACUCCAUGAAGUCGGAAUCGCUAGUAAUCGUAGAUCAGAAUGCUACGGUGAAUACGUUCCCGGGCCUUGUACACACCGCCCGUCACACCAUGGGAGUGGGUUGCAAAAGAAGUAGGUAGCUUAACCUUCGGGAGGGCGCUUACCACUUUGUGAUUCAUGACUGGGGUGAAGUCGUAACAAGGUAACCGUAGGGGAACCUGCGGUUGGAUCACCUCCUUACCUUAAAGAA
rnacentral:rRNA from 1 species